rnacentral:rRNA from 1 species
AUUGAACGCUGGCGGCAGGCUUAACACAUGCAAGUCGAGCGGGGGAGGUUGCUUCGGUAACCGACCUAGCGGCGGACGGGUGAGUAAUACUUAGGAAUCUGCCUAUUAAUGGGGGACAACAUCUCGACAGAGAUGCUAAUACCGCAUACGCCCUACGGGGGAAAGCAGGGGAUCACUUGUGACCUUGCGUUAAGAGAUGAGACUAAGUCGGAGUAGAUAGUUGGUGGGGUAAAGGCCUACCAAGGCGACGAUCUGUAGCGGGUCUUAGAGGAUAAUCCGCCACACUGGGACUGAGACACGACCCAGACUCCUACGGGAGGCAGCAGUGGGGAAUAUUGGACAAUGGGGGGAACCCUGAUCCAGCCAUGCCGCGUGUGUGAAGAAGGCCUUAUGGUUGUAAAGCACUUUAAGCGAGGAGGAGGCUCUUUUGGUUAAUACCCAAGAUGAGUGGACGUUACUCGCAGAAUAAGCACCGGCUAACUCUGUGCCAGCCGCCGCGGUAACAC